UUCAUCCAGAAUCCUCCGUAAGUCUUCGUACAGGUCACUUUUUAAUUUUUAAAAUAUCUUUAUUGGAAGGCCAUGCAUUGCCCCCAGUUGUUGUAUUUCAAAUCACUGUACAUUUAAUUUGUGAAAACACAGUCUGCAUUUUCUAGUACAAAAAACUAAAAAUUGUUCAGGAAUGUAGAGAAUAUUCAACUUAAAUAGCGGGAAAGUGCACCAGGUACUGUUGCACUGCAGACAUUUCUGCAUGUUCCAUAAGAUUUUAAAUAACUAUGUUGUUAACACACAAUAUAAAGAGCAAAUAUGAAAAAGACACUUAAAUAGACUAGGUUAUUGGGUAUAGUUUGCUGGAAUUGGAUAACCUAUCAUUGGUGUACCGCCAGUUGUAGGGUAUGUAUACUGCUGUUGGUUCAUUGCACCGUGCAUGUUUGCCAUGUUAUUUCCAUACUGCUGGUCAUAGCCAAUCUGGAAAGCUGUGGUGCCAGCCCUAAAUCCACUCUGCAUGCCACUUGCUCCAAAGUUGCUUCCAAAGCCAGUACCAUUACCAAAACCUUGAGCACCAUAGCCACCAUUCUGAGUUUUUGCACCAAAGUCUCUCUUGCCCAAUGCACCAUAAAGACUAAGGCUAUUUUUUAUUUCUAUUUUUAACC
rnacentral:lncRNA from 11 species